UACGUAGGGGGCAAGCGUUGUUCGGAAUUACUGGGCGUAAAGGGCGCGUAGGCGGCUGCGUAAGUCGGGAGUGAAAGCCCGGGGCUCAACCCCGGAAUGUCUCUCGAAACUGUCAGGCUCGAGUCCGGGAGGGGGUGGCGGAAUUCCCAGUGUAGCGGUGAAAUGCGUAGAUAUUGGGAGGAACACCAGUGGCGAAGGCGGCCACCUGGACCGGAUCUGACGCUGAUGCGCGAAAGCGUGGGUAGCAAACAGG
rnacentral:rRNA from 1 species